rnacentral:rRNA from 1 species
GACGCUAGAGGUGAAAUUCUUGGACCGUCGCAAGACUAACUACUGCGAAAGCAUUUGCCAAGAAUGUUUUCAUUAAUCAAGAACGAAAGUUAGAGGAUCGAAGGCGAUCAGAUACCGCCCUAGUUCUAACCAUAAACGAUGCUAACUGGCGAUCCGUCGGCGUCAUUCCCACGACUCGGCGGGGAGCCCCCGGGAAACCAAAGUUUUUGAGUUCCGGGGGAAGUAUGGUUGCAAAGCUGAAACUUAAAGGAAUUGACGGAAGGGCACCACCAGGAGUGGAGCCUGCGGCUUAAUUUGACUCAACACGGGGAACCUCACCAGGCCCAGACACCGGAAGGAUUGACAGAUUGAGAGCUCUUUCUCGAUUCGGUGGGUGGUGGUGCAUGGCCGUUCUUAGUUGGUGGAGCGAUCUGUCUGGUUGAUUCCGAUAACGAACGAGACUCUAGCCUGCUAACUAGUCGGCGGAUCGUCUCCCGAGACGGGUUUCCUUCCGCGGGGGCUUAGGGCGAGGGUAGCUCACGGGGGGCUCGUCGUUUCUCUCGUUCUCGGCAACGCGGGGUAGGUCGAAGGUAGAUGACGGAAAAGACGAGGAGGGUGGCGAGAGUCGUUGGCGGUCGGUU